rnacentral:misc_RNA from 1 species
UUAACUAUUAUAUAGUACUCAGACAAUAAAUUAUAAAGAGUUUUGGGUCCUCUGGCAGGCACUGACCAGCCGAAGCCGGUGGCCCGAAGACGGGCCUGCCAAAGCAACAAUGGUAUUGUAAACAAAGGGUGGGAGAUCUACCCCGAAGGGCAAGUUCUCUGUAAUGAUCCUUCCGCAGGUUCACCUACGGAAA